UCCCGGGGUCCAUAAAAGAACUCUUUGAGAGCUGGAAGACGAUUCUUAUGAGAAAAGACGAGCGCAAAAUAUGGUUAGUUGAUUUCUUCUCAGUUAUAUGGAACAUCUGGCUGUGUAGGAAUGAACGUAUUUUGUUAGAAUAAGACAACGGCCGUGGUGGAUUGCAUUGCUAGAUCACUCUGUAGUUUGAGGGAUUGGUGUAAAACUAACUCGUGUUGUUGAUGGCUAUGCUGAAGAUGACAUAAGAGUUGCUUUAUCUCUUUAUUUUCUUAUUAUUGUAUGCUCCAACGAGUGUGUUGAGCUUGUUUGUCUUUCAAAAAAAUGUUACUCUUCUGGACAAAAAUGGCAUGACGAGAC
rnacentral:lncRNA from 1 species